GGUUUAUUGCUCAGCCUGCCGCUGUUACCUGGAUCCUACGACCUGGUCCCGUCUCUUCUAUGAGACGCAUCAGGGGUCUAAAGCAGUCGGGCCCACCCUGCUCCACUGACACGACUCCCUCCACACUCCACUUCCGUCCCCGGUGGACAAUAAACGCUGUGUGUGACGGAGCAGCAGAGGAAACUAAUUCACAGUAAAUAUAAAUAUCAGACAUGAAAGUGUCUCAAUGGAGCAGAUCAGAGUUGUUAGAGCCUCGAGGGGCGAAGAGCAAAGAGGAAAAGGGCGGCGUUUACCCUGAACACCCGUCCACAGCAGCACAGAGAGAACGGCCCCCCCUCACCCACUGAGGGACACCGUGCACAUCAGGAGCCCAACGACACGACCAACGUCCAACAAACAGGCGUUUAAAAAGGGCGGCAGUGCUACUUUCUGCACGGACGCUUCAGCUUCACCAUUGCUCGUCACACUGUGGCCCAAAAACCCAGUGAUGCACUUUUCUCCAUCCUACAUUUGUGUUGUGGCCAAAGUAAUAAUAAGAAUAAGAAGAAGAAGAAGUGACGCUGCAUUCAUCCCACAUACAACAUCACAGGACGAACACGGUCCCAGCAGCAUCGGGUCCGACCUCUGUCUCCACGGGUUCAGCCUCGUGUACCAGAGCACGCCGACGGCCUCCA
ensembl:lncRNA